CUUAGUCUUAUCUCCUUAUUAUACUUAGCCCUCAGCAUAACAGUAGCCUAAAGGCCUCUCCACAUAUACAAAAAUAAUAUUAAUACUUACUGUUAACACAACAAAACCCCACCACCAACAAAAAGAUUUACCCUUUCUUCAUUAAAAUCAACCAAAAAGUAUUACUAGUAGUAGUAGGGACUGGCUGGCUGGCUGUAUGGAUGGAGAUGAGAUGAGAUGAGAUGAG
rnacentral:misc_RNA from 1 species